rnacentral:rRNA from 1 species
GACGAACCGUGCGAACGUUAUUCGGAAUCACUGGGCUUAAAGCGCGUGUAGGCGGGGCGGCACGUCGGUCGCUGAAAGCCCCCGGCUCAACCGGGGAACGGGCGCCGAUACGACCGCCCUGGAGGGACGUAGGGGGGCCUGGAACUUCCGGUGGAGCGGUGAAAUGCGUUGAGAUCGGAAGGAACGCCCGUGGCGAAAGCGAGGCCCUGGACGUCUGCUGACGCUGAGACGCGAAAGCCAGGGGAGCAAACGGG